UGAUGCUGAGCUUGCAGAAUGUCA
rnacentral:piRNA from 1 species